UCCCUGGUGGUCUAGUGGUUAGGACUCCGGGUUUUCACCAGUGCAGCCUGGGUUCAAUCCCUGGCCUGGGAA
rnacentral:tRNA from 1 species